GGUGUUUUCAGAGUGCGGUUUAUCAAGGAAUUACCAGAGGACCAAAAGUAUCUGUGACUAGUGAGGAAAUGAUGGGAGAAGCCAUCCACAUCCUAUUUCAACGCAAACCUACAUUCUGAUGUACAACAAACUCAAGCCUUCAGGUUGAGUGUAUCAUCUCACCUAUCCCUUGAGGAGCCACUCAAAGAGCAUUGGUUUGGAAGGGGGAAAAGAAAAAAGAAAAAGAAAAGCAAAUCAGAGGACUUGUUCACCCUUCCCUUCCUCAUG
rnacentral:lncRNA from 1 species